rnacentral:rRNA from 1 species
AAUCAACGCUGGCGGCGUGCCUAACACAUGCAAGUCGAACGCGAAAGCCCCGCAAGGGGCAAGUAGAGUGGCAAACGGGUGAGUAACGCGUGGGUGACCUGCCCUCGAGCGGGGGAGUAACGUCCCGAAAGGGACGCUAAUACCGCAUAACAUCCUGCUUUUUAACUAAGCGGAGAUCAAAGCUGGGGAGUCGCAAGACCUAGCACUCGAAGAGGGGCCCGCGUCUGAUUAGCAGUUGGUGAGGUAACGGCUCACCAAGGCGACGAUCAGUAUCCGGCCUGAGAGGGCGGACGGACACACUGGGACUGAGACACGGCCCAGACUCCUACGGGAGGCAGCAGUGGGGAAUUGUUCGCAAUGGGCGCAAGCCUGACGACGCAACGCCGCGUGGAGGAUGAAGACCUUC